UUGCCCGAAGCUAGGGUUUGCG
rnacentral:siRNA from 1 species